CAGUCGCCGCGGGAAUACGGAGGGUGCAAGCGUUAAUCGGAAUUACUGGGCGUAAAGCGCACGCAGGCGGUCUGACAAGUCAGAUGUGAAAUCCCCGGGCUUAACCUGGGAACUGCAUUUGAAACUGUCAGGCUGGAGUCUUGUAGAGGGGGGUGGAAUUCCAGGUGUAGCUGUGAAAUGCGUAGAGAUCUGGAGGAAUACCGGUGGCGAAGGCGGCCCCCUGGACAAAGACUGACGCUCAGGUGCGAAAGCGUGGGGAGCAAACAGGAUUAGAUACCCGCGUAGUCCCUGUCUCUUAUAA
rnacentral:rRNA from 1 species